rnacentral:rRNA from 1 species
UACAGAGGGUGCAAGCGUUAAUCGGAAUUACUGGGCGUAAAGCGCGCGUAGGUGGUUUGUUAAGUUGGAUGUGAAAUCCCCGGGCUCAACCUGGGAACUGCAUUCAAAACUGACAAGCUAGAGUAUGGUAGAGGGUGGUGGAAUUUCCUGUGUAGCGGUGAAAUGCGUAGAUAUAGGAAGGAACACCAGUGGCGAAGGCGAUCACCUGGGGUUGUUCUGACGCUGAGGAGCGAAAGCUAGGGGAGCAAACGGG